rnacentral:pre_miRNA from 1 species
CUUGCACCAGUGGGGUCCCUUGGCCUGGCCUGUGCCCUCUUGCAAUCCGGGACCCCUCGGGGGAUGUCAGAGAGCUGGUUUUGGCCUGAUCCUGCAGGCCAGGCCAAGGGACCCCACUGGUGCACA